rnacentral:lncRNA from 1 species
UGCGGUCCAGGCUGAGGCUGUGUGGCAAACCGGUUCCUUGCCCAGAAGAGCCGUUGGUAAGCUUGGGAUGGAAGGAAGCCUUUGGAUGCCAAAGAAAAGCCGCCAUUGUUGCCAAACAGGCCAAACCGGAGCGAUUAAUCCACUUUAUCUGCCCGGAUAAUCCACUCUUCUCAGGUGGUUCCUAGGAAACACACUUUAGGGAGGUAGAGUCAGGAGGGACUGGGGGGGUGGGGUGGAAAGCCAGGCGGGGCACGGAGAAGCCAACAGAUGGGUGGGGCAGGGAGGGUGGAAGGGAGGGAAGGGGAAAUGAACAGGAGUGAAACCUGGCCAUGAAACCUGGCCGCUCUGGGAAGAAAAAAGGGGUUUCGGAGAAGGGGAGAAGAAAAGAAAGAAAAACAAGAGUCCGAGGCUCACUUCCAGGAGGGAACAAGCUCAAAUUCUCCAGGGUUCUCUGACUUCACAGACCAAGAUCAGUUAUAUGAUCCACGUGUGGCUGAAUCUGGCUGGUUUUAAUCAACUCAGUUGUUUGCAUUUACACAAUACCAUUAAUUAUUCGUUAACUGUGUUUUGGGUUGACAGAAGUCAUGAAACCACAAACCAAGGAGUCCAUUUGUGGCCUAGUAUGUUGUGUUAAUUCCGUCUAGGGAUGUCCACUCUUGGAAAUUUUAAGAGCUAUGGACUUCAAUUCCCAGAAUGGCUGAUUGGGGAAUUCUGGGAGUUGAAAGUCCACUAGUCUUAAAAGUUGCCAAAGUUGGAUAUCUCCAAUCUAGAGUGAAUUGUGAUCCCACACCAGCAGACCAAACAAUUUAUGAGAACAUUAUGGCUCUAAUAUUUGACUUUUGAAUCUUACAAGGAUAUGCAGUCAGGCUCUGACCUUGUUACAACCCCUCUCCAAAAUUUAGCCCUCUAAGCCAUUUUAAUAGCCUUUUAAGUAGCAACAGCUGGUAAGUGUGUCUUCCCAGACCACAGCCCCAGCUGGGCUGAAGGAUGAAAAUAAUCAGUUAUGGGUUUCAACAACACAUCCAAAAUCUGUAGAUUCACGAUUCACAACAAGGGUU